rnacentral:lncRNA from 1 species
CAUUAGUUGUAUAUUUGAUAUCCGUUUAAUCUUCACAACUCUAUGACAUAAUGUUGUUACCCCUUUUACAGAUGAGGAAAUUGAGGAACAUGGUAGGAAAGUCUGGAGUCAGUCCUCUGCUAAACCUUAAGACUGGGAAGACCCGAAAUCCAGGCCAGAAAUUCCAGCCAGACUCUGCACAGAGCCAACUGGAUGCAUCUCACACUCAACAGAUGAUGCUGUGACAUCCAAUGCUCAUCCCUCCCCUAGUGGAAUUGCUGGUCUGUCUGUCCUGUCCCCCAAUGUGUGAAUGUAAGCUGCAGAAGUGCUCGGAUUCUACUGGUCUUGGAAACAAAGGCCUGGCAGACAGAGCAGGUACUCAAUAUUAUAUUUGUUGAAUGAGUGAAUGAAUAGAUGAACAAGUAGGAGGAUCUGUUUGUUUUUAUCUAUCUGUUUUAAUUUUUAAAGAUUUUAUUUAUUCAGUUGAUAAGUCAUGCACACACACUAGUAGAGGAGUGGCAGGCAGAGGGAGAGGGAGAAGCAGGCUCCCUGCUGAGCAGGGGACCCAACGUGGGGCUGGAUCCCAGGACCCUGGGAUCAUGACCUGAGCUGAAGGCAGAUGCUUAACCUACUGAGCCACCCCGGUACCCCAGAAGGAUCAAUUUAGAUACCAAGCAGAGAGGUAGGCCCAUUUACACAGUUGUCCUAGGAUGGGGUUGUCAUACUCAAGUAGUGGAGUGGCCCAGAGCCUUGGUUUGGAGGCAGAUAAAUGGAUUUGUAUCCUGUUUCUGACAGUAUGUGUAUGGGUGACAUUAGGCAGGCUCCUUGGCUUCACUGUGCCUGGGGUUUUCC